UUCUUUUAACAAAUUAGGUGCAAUAGAAGCAAUGAAAACUUCUCUGUGCAUCAAUUACUAUUUGAAUCAAAUUAUGAAAUUUCUUUACAAUUAAUAAUCCCACUUUUUUAUCCCUAUAUAUAAAGCAUAGAUUUGAACAUCCUAACCAUUCUACAUUCUAAAAUAUGUAAUACUGCAUAUGUUAGUGUUUUAUUCAUCUGUUUUUUUUUUUUUUUUGCUUCAUUCUCAUCAAUUGUGACUGGCGAGGCUGUGAUCUUUGCUGCUUGGGAGGCUAUCAGAUGGACUUCUCUUCUUUGUUUUCCAUUGAUAAAAUAGUUGAAAAUUUGAUGUUGGCACGGUUCAAUCAGAUCAAAUCUCUCAGUGACUGGCUGAGUCCUUUAAUCUGAUUGAGCCGUGCCAAUAUCAGAGUUAGUCAGUUUAUCACCAAACCACUUGAAACUAGGGUCUCAACUCUUGUGAUUCUAGCUGUUGCUGAUAGUAGAAACUGCGAUUCGAACAUUUGUUUUCAGAAGCGACGAUGUGCCUGAUCAGAACCCAGAUUAAUCAUAAGGAACCUGCCUCAAUAUUGCAUUACUUAUAGCAUAUUGACACAUGAGGAUGCUUGUGGAAAUGAAUGGCACUGCUGUAAUCAUGUUUGUAAAAUCCCUUUGAUGCAAAUGACUAAGAAUAUUGUUAUUGUUUAGUGCAUUUUAUUGUUAUUUUUCGUCAGUCAAAAUUUCAUUAGACGAAGGAUUCAAUCAAGUAAGAUUGAUUGACGACAAUCAGUAUAAUGGAUAAAUUGAAUGUUGGAGUAGUUGAAUUAAAUAUUCUCUAGCUUCUUUGUAUUUCAUUUCCUACUUAAUUAAAAGGAGAUUAUAGAUCUUAAAGGAAUAAA